rnacentral:rRNA from 1 species
UAAUAAUGCAAGUCGAACGAGAAAGUCACUUCGGUGGCGAGUACAGUGGCGCACGGGUGAGUAACGCGUAGGUGACAUGCCUGUUAGUGGGGGACAACAUCGGGAAACCGGUGCUAAUACCGCAUAAGUUAAACGACAUUGAAAAAGUUUAAGAAAGGGGCUUCGGUCUCGCUGACAGAUUGGCCUGCGUAUCAUUAGCUUGUUGGUGGGGUAAUGGCCUACCAAGGCGACGAUGAUUAACUGGUCUGAGAGGAUGAUCAGUCACACUGGAACUGAGACACGGUCCAGGCUCCUACGGGAGGCAGCAGUAGGGAAUAUUGCACAAUGGGGGAAACCCUGAUGCAGCAAUGCCACGUGAGUGAGGAAGGCCUUCGGGUUGUAAAGCUCUGUCCUAUAGGAAGAACGGCACUAGGUAACGCUAGUGUCUGACGGUACUAUAGAAGAAAGCACCGGCU